UCUUAGGCAAAUCCGGGACCCUUUAUGCCGAGCACCGAGACGAGCCCUAUUGGGCGAAGUGACUGACACCACGCUUCCAGGAAAAGCCACUAAGCUUCAGCUAUAGAAGAACCGUACCGCAAACCGACACUGGUAGACAGGGUGAGAAUCCCAAGGCGCUUGAGAGAACUCGGGUGAAGGAACUAGGCAAAAUGGCACCGUAACUUCGGGAGAAGGUGCGCCCUUUAGCGUGGUCACAUGCGUGACUGAGCGUUGAAGGGUCGCAGUAACCUGGCCGCUGCGACUGUUUAUCAAAAACACAGCACUCUGCAAACACGAAAGUGGACGUAUAGGGUGUGACGCCUGCCCGGUGCUGGAAGGUUAAUUGAUGGGGUCAGCCGCAAGGCGAAGCUCUUGAUCGAAGCCCCAGUAAACGGCGGCCGUAACAAUAACGGUCCUAAGGUAGCGAAAUUCCUUGUCGGGUAAGUUCCGACCUGCACGAAUGGCGUAACGACAGCGGCGCUGUCUCCACCCGAGACUCAGUGAAAUUGAAUUCGCUGUGAAGAUGCAGCGUUCCCGCGGCAAGACGGAAAGACCCCGUGAACCUUUACUAUAGCUUUACAUUGAACGUUGAGUUCUUCUGUGUAGGAUAGGUGGGAGGCUUUGAAGUGCAGGCGCUAGCUUGCAUGGAGCCAACCUUGAAACACCACCCUGAAGUGCUUGACGUUCUAACCUCGACCCGUCAUCCGGGUCAGGGACCAUGUAUGGUGGGUAGUUUGACUGGGGCGGUCUCCUCCCAAAGAGUAACGGAGGAGCACGAAGGUACGCUCAGCGCGGUCGGACAUCGCGCACUGUGUGCAAUGGCAUAAGCGUGCUUGACUGCGAGAUCGACGGAUCAAGCAGGUACGAAAGUAGGUCAUAGUGAUCCGGUGGUUCUGUAUGGAAGGGCCAUCGCUCAACGGAUAAAAGGUACUCCGGGGAUAACAGGCUGAUACCGCCCAAGAGUUCAUAUCGACGGCGGUGUUUGGCACCUCGAUGUCGGCUCAUCACAUCCUGGGGCUGUAGCCGGUCCCAAGGGUAUGGCUGUUCGCCAUUUAAAGUGGUACGCGAGCUGGGUUCAGAACGUCGUGAGACAGUUCGGUCCCUAUCUGUCGUGGGCGUUGGAGAUUUGAGGGGGGCUGCUCCUAGUACGAGAGGACCGGAGUGGGCGUUCCGCUGGUGUUCGGGUUGUCAUGCCCAUGGCAUUGCCCGGUAGCUAUGAACGGAAGUGAUAACCGCUGAAAGCAUCUAAGCGGGAAGCACGCCCCAAGAUGAGAUCUCCCGAGAGCUUGACUCUCCUUAAGGCACCAUCAAGACCAGGUGGUUGAUAGGUCAGGUGUGGAAGUGCAGCAAUGCAUGGAGCUAACUGAUACUAAUGAGCCGUGAGGCUUGACC
rnacentral:rRNA from 1 species